UCCAAGAUAUCGCCACACUUUCUUCUGGUCAUGGCUAGAUGGCACUUGUGGCUAGAUUUCUUCCAUGCACCACUAAUCGCUACCAUGUCUGUGGCCGGAGCUAUUCGACGAACAACCAUCGCAUUUACCUAGGUACUUUUUCGGGUUUUUGGUCCAACUUGCACCAUUUUUGGCCCGUAUUUGCCCCAUAGCUCCGCCGGUAUCCAAGAUAUCGCCAAACUUUCUUCUGGCCAUGGCUAGAUGGCACUUGUGGCUAGAUUUCUUCCAUGCACCAUUAAUCGCUACCAUGUCUGUGGCCGGAGCUAUUCGACGAACAACCAUCGCAUUUACCUAGGUACUUUUUCGGGUUUUUGGUCCAACUUGCACCAUUUUUAGCUUAUGAGCUUAUGAGAAGAUCUAUCCAUAUCUGUGUUACAAUUGAAGAUCCAUUGGAAACUGACCGAGUUAUAAGCAUGCAAAGUGGCAAAAUGAGAAUUUUUUUUUUUUGAAAAACCGAGAAAAUUUUAAGUCUUUGUAUCUCGAAUAUCAUUUGACACGGACAACUAAGCACAUCGGCGUUGAAUAACUUUUGGUAGCUAAUGAGAAGAUCUAUCCAUAUCUGUGUUACAAUUGAAGAUCCAUUGGAAACUGACCGAGUUAUAAGCAUCCAAAGUGGCAAAAUGAGGCAAUUUUUUUCUGGUAAAUACCGAGAAAAUUUUAAGUCUUUGUAUCUCGAAUAACAUAUGACACGGACAACUUAGCACAUCGGCGUAGAAUAACUUUUGGUAGCUAAUGAGAAGAUCUAUCCAUAUCUGUGUUACAAUGGAAGAUCCAUUGGAAACUGACCGAGUUAUAAGCAUCCAAAGUGGCAAAAUGAGGCAAUUUUUUUCUUGUAAAUACCGAGAAAAUUUUAAGUCUUUGUAUCUCGAAUAACAUUUGACACGGACAACUUAGCACAUCGGCGUAGAAUAACUUUUGGUAGCUAAUGAGAAGAUCUAUCCAUAUCUGUGUUACAAUGGAAGAUCCAUUGGAAACUGACCGAGUUAUAAGCAUCCAAAGUGGCAAAAUGAGGCAAUUUUUUUCUUGUAAAUACCGAGAAAAUUUUAAGUCUUUGUAUCUCGAAUAACAUUUGACACGGACAACUUAGCACAUCGGCGUAGAAUAACUUUUGGUAGCUAAUGAGAAGAUCUAUCCAUAUCUGUGUUACAAUUGAAGAUCCAUUGGAAACUGACCGAGUUAUAAGCAUCCAAAGUGGCAAAAUGAGGCAAUUUUUUUCUUGUAAAUACCGAGAAAAUUUUAAGUCUUUGUAUCUCGAAUAACAUUUGACACGGACAACUUAGCACAUCGGCGUAGAAUAACUUUUGGUAGCUAAUGAGAAGAUCUAUCCAUAUCUGUGUUACAAUUGAAGAUCCAUUGGAAACUGACCGAGUUAUAAGCAUCCAAAGUGGCAAAAUGAGGCAAUUUUUUUUUGUAAAUACCGAGAAAAUUUUAAGUCUUUGUAUCUCGAAUAACAUUUGACACGGACAACUUAGCACAUCGGCGUAGAAUAACUUUUGGUAGCUAAUGAGAAGAUCUAUCCAUAUCUGUGUUACAAUUGAAGAUCCAUUGGAAACUGACCGAGUUAUAAGCAUCCAAAGUGGCAAAAUGAGGCAAUUUUUUUCUUGUAAAUACCGAGAAAAUUUUAAGUCUUUGUAUCUCGAAUAACAUUUGACACGGACAACUUAGCACAUCGGCGUAGAAUAACUUUUGGUAGCUAAUGAGAAGAUCUAUCCAUAUCUGUGUUACAAUUGAAGAUCCAUUGGAAACUGACCGAGUUAUAAGCAUCCAAAGUGGCAAAAUGAGGCAAUUUUUUUCUUGUAAAUACCGAGAAAAUUUUAAGUCUUUGUAUCUCGAAUAACAUUUGACACGGAAAACUUAGCACAUCGGCGUAGAAUAACUUUUGGUAGCUAAUGAGAAGAUCUAUCCAUAUCUGUGUUACAAUUGAAGAUCCAUUGGAAACUGACCGAGUUAUAAGCAUCCAAAGUGGCAAAAUGAGGCAAUUUUUUUUUUGUAAAUACCGAGAAAAUUUUAAGUCUUUGUAUCUCGAAUAACAUUUGACACGGACAACUUAGCACAUCGGCGUAGAAUAACUUUUGGUAGCUAAUGAGAAGAUCUAUCCAUAUCUGUGUUACAAUUGAAGAUCCAUUGGAAACUGACCGAGUUAUAAGCAUCCAAAGUGGCAAAAUGAGGCAAUUUUUUUCUUGUAAAUACCAAGAAAAUUUUAAGUCUUUGUAUCUCGAAUAACAUUUGACACGGACAACUUAGCACAUCGGCGUAGAAUAACUUUUGGUAGCUAAUGAGAAGAUCUAUCCAUAUCUGUGUUACAAUUGAAGAUCCAUUGGAAACUGACCGAGUUAUAAGCAUCCAAAGUGGCAAAAUGAGGCAAUUUUUUUUUUGUAAAUACCGAGAAAAUUUUAAGUCUUUGUAUCUCGAAUAACAUUUGACACGGACAACUUAGCACAUCGGCGUGGAAUAACUUUUGGUAGCUUAUGAGAAGAUCUAUCCAUAUCUGUGUUACAAUUGAAGAUCCAUUGGAAACUGACCGAGUUAUAAGCAUCCAAAGUGGCAAAAUGAGGCAAUUUUUUUUUUUGUAAAUACCGAGAAAAUUUUAAGUCUUUGUAUCUCGAAUAACAUUUGACACGGACAACUUAGCACAUCGGCGUAGAAUAACUUUUGGUAGCUAAUGAGAAGAUCUAUCCAUAUCUGUGUUACAAUUGAAGAUCCAUUGGAAACUGACCGAGUUAUAAGCAUCCAAAGUGGCAAAAUGAGGCAAUUUUUUUCUUGUAAAUACCGAGAAAAUUUUAAGUCUUUGUAUCUCGAAUAACAUUUGACACGGACAACUUAGCACAUCGGCGUAGAAUAACUUUUGGUAGCUAAUGAGAAGAUCUAUCCAUAUCUGUGUUACAAUUGAAGAUCCAUUGGAAACUGACCGAGUUAUAAGCAUCCAAAGUGGCAAAAUGAGGCAAUUUUUUUCUUGUAAAUACCGAGAAAAUUUUAAGUCUUUGUAUCUCGAAUAACAUUUGACACGGACAACUUAGCACAUCGGCGUAGAAUAACUUUUGGUAGCUAAUGAGAAGAUCUAUCCAUAUCUGUGUUACAAUUGAAGAUCCAUUGGAAACUGACCGAGUUAUAAGCAUCCAAAGUGGCAAAAUGAGGCAAUUUUUUUCUUGUAAAUACCGAGAAAAUUUUAAGUCUUUGUAUCUCGAAUAACAUUUGACACGGACAACUUAGCACAUCGGCGUAGAAUAACUUUUGGUAGCUAAUGAGAAGAUCUAUCCAUAUCUGUGUUACAAUUGAAGAUCCAUUGGAAACUGACCGAGUUAUAAGCAUCCAAAGUGGCAAAAUGAGGCAAUUUUUUUCUUGUAAAUACCGAGGAAAUUUUAAGUCUUUGUAUCUCGAAUAACAUUUGACACGGACAACUUAGCACAUCGGCGUAGAAUAACUUUUGGUAGCUAAUGAGAAGAUCUAUCCAUAUCUGUGUUACAAUUGAAGAUCCAUUGGAAACUGACCGAGUUAUAAGCAUCCAAAGUGGCAAAAUGAGGCAAUUUUUUUUUUGUAAAUACCAAGAAAGUUUUAAGUCUUUGUAUCUCGAAUAACAUUUGACACGGACAACUUAGCACAUCGGCGUAGAAUAACUUUUGGUAGCUAAUGAGAAGAUCUAUCCAUAUCUGUGUUACAAUUGAAGAUCCAUUGGAAACUGACCGAGUUAUAAGCAUCCAAAGUGGCAAAAUGAGGCAAUUUUUUUCUUGUAAAUACCGAGAAAAUUUUAAGUCUUUGUAUCUCGAAUAACAUUUGACACGGACAACUUAGCACAUCGGCGUAGAAUAACUUUUGGUAGCUAAUGAGAAGAUCUAUCCAUAUCUGUGUUACAAUUGAAGAUCCAUUGGAAACUGACCGAGUUAUAAGCAUCCAAAGUGGCAAAAUGAGGCAAUUUUUUUUUUGGAACAACCGAGAAAAUUUUAAGUCUUUGUAUCUCGAAUAACAUUUGACACGGACAACUUAGCACAUCGGCGUAGAAUAACUUUUGGUAGCUAAUGAGAAGAUCUAUCCAUAUCUGUGUUACAAUUGAAGAUCCAUUGGAAACUGACCGAGUUAUAAGCAUCCAAAGUGGCAAAAUGAGGCAAUUUUUUUCUUGUAAAUACCGAGAAAAUUUUAAGUCUUUGUAUCUCGAAUAACAUUUGACACGGACAACUUAGCACAUCGGCGUAGAAUAACUUUUGGUAGCUAAUGAGAAGAUCUAUCCAUAUCUGUGUUACAAUUGAAGAUCCAUUGGAAACUGACCGAGUUAUAAGCAUCCAAAGUGGCAAAAUGAGGCAAUUUUUUUCUUGUAAAUACCGAGAAAAUUUUAAGUCUUUGUAUCUCGAAUAACAUUUGACACGGACAACUUAGCACAUCGGCGUAGAAUAACUUUUGGUAGCUAAUGAGAAGAUCUAUCCAUAUCUGUGUUACAAUUGAAGAUCCAUUGGAAACUGACCGAGUUAUAAGCAUCCAAAGUGGCAAAAUGAGGCAAUUUUUUUCUUGUAAAUACCGAGAAAAUUUUAAGUCUUUGUAUCUCGAAUAACAUUUGACACGGACAACUUAGCACAUCGGCGUAGAAUAACUUUUGGUAGCUAAUGAGAAGAUCUAUCCAUAUCUGUGUUACAAUUGAAGAUCCAUUGGAAACUGACCGAGUUAUAAGCAUCCAAAGUGGCAAAAUGAGGCAAUUUUUUUCUUGUAAAUACCGAGAAAAUUUUAAGUCUUUGUAUCUCGAAUAACAUUUGACACGGACAACUUAGCACAUCGGCGUAGAAUAACUUUUGGUAGCUAAUGAGAAGAUCUAUCCAUAUCUGUGUUACAAUUGAAGAUCCAUUGGAAACUGACCGAGUUAUAAGCAUCCAAAGUGGCAAAAUGAGGCAAUUUUUUUCUUGUAAAUACCGAGAAAAUUUUAAGUCUUUGUAUCUCGAAUAACAUUUGACACGGACAACUUAGCACAUCGGCGUAGAAUAACUUUUGGUAGCUAAUGAGAAGAUCUAUCCAUAUCUGUGUUACAAUUGAAGAUCCAUUGGAAACUGACCGAGUUAUAAGCAUCCAAAGUGGCAAAAUGGGGCAAUUUUUUUCUUGUAAAUACCGAGAAAAUUUUAAGUCUUUGUAUCUCGAAUAACAUUUGACACGGACAACUUAGCACAUCGGCGUAGAAUAACUUUUGGUAGCUAAUGAGAAGAUCUAUCCAUAUCUGUGUUACAAUUGAAGAUCCAUUGGAAACUGACCGAGUUAUAAGCAUCCAAAGUGGCAAAAUGAGGCAAUUUUUUUUUUGUAAAUACCGAGAAAAUUUUAAGUCUUUGUAUCUCGAAUAACAUUUGACACGGACAACUUAGCACAUCGGCGUAGAAUAACUUUUGGUAGCUAAUGAGAAGAUCUAUCCAUAUCUGUGUUACAAUUGAAGAUCCAUUGGAAACUGACCGAGUUAUAAGCAUCCAAAGUGGCAAAAUGAGGCAAUUUUUUUUUUGGAAAAACCGAGAAAAUUUUAAGUCUUUGUAUCUCGAAUAACAUUUGACACGGACAACUUAGCACAUCGGCGUAGAAUAACUUUUGGUAGCUAAUGAGAAGAUCUAUCCAUAUCUGUGUUACAAUUGAAGAUCCAUUGGAAACUGACCGAGUUAUAAGCAUCCAAAGUGGCAAAAUGAGGCAAUUUUUUUUUUGUAAAUACCGAGAAAAUUUUAAGUCUUUGUAUCUCGAAUAACAUUUGACACGGACAACUUAGCACAUCGGCGUAGAAUAACUUUUGGUAGCUUAUGAGAAGAUCUAUCCAUAUCUGUGUUACAAUUGAAGAUCCAUUGGAAACUGACCGAGUUAUAAGCAUCCAAAGUGGCAAAAUGAGGCAAUUUUUUUUUGUAAAUACCGAGAAAAUUUUAAGUCUUUGUAUCUCGAAUAACAUUUGACACGGAAAACUUAGCACAUCGGCGUAGAAUAACUUUUGGUAGCUAAUGAGAAGAUCUAUCCAUAUCUGUGUUACAAUUGCAAAUCCAUUGGAAACUGACCGAGUUAUAAGCAUCCAAAGUGGCAAAAUGAGGCAAUUUUUUUCUUGUAAAUACCAAGAAAAUUUUAAGUCUUUGUAUCUCGAAUAACAUUUGACACGGACAACUUAGCACAUCGGCGUAGAAUAACUUUUGGUAGCUAAUGAGAAGAUCUAUCCAUAUCUGUGUUACAAUUGAAGAUCCAUUGGAAACUGACCGAGUUAUAAGCAUCCAAAGUGGCAAAAUGAGGCAAUUUUUUUUUUGGAACAACCGAGAAAAUUUUAAGUCUUUGUAUCUCGAAUAACAUUUGACACGGACAACUUAGCACAUCGGCGUAGAAUAACUUUUGGUAGCUAAUGAGAAGAUCUAUCCAUAUCUGUGUUACAAUUGAAGAUCCAUUAAAAACUGACCGAGUUAUAAGCAUCCAAAGUGGCAAAAUGACUAUUCACGAAAGCGCCUCGCGCACUUGGUCGGGUUUUUGGUCCAACUUGCACCAUUUUUGGCCCGUAUUUGCCCCAUAGCUCCGCCGGUAUCCAAGAUAUUGCCACACGUUUUUCUGGCCAUGGCUAGAUGGCACUUGUGGCUAGAUUUCUUCCAUGCACCACUAAUCGCUACCAUGUCUGUGGCCGCAGCUAUUCGACGAACAACCAUCGCAUUUACCUAGGUACUUUUUCGGGUUUUUGGUCCAACUUGCACCAUUUUUGGCCCGUAUUUGCCCCAUAGCUCCGCCGGUAUCCAAGAUAUCGCCACACUUUCUUCUGGCCAUGGCUAGAUGGCACUUGUGGCUAGAUUUCUUCCAUGCACCACUAAUCGCUACCAUGUGUGUGGCCGGAGCUAUUUGACG